CGCUAUCACUCCUACGGGAGGCAGCAGUGGGGAAUCUUAGACAAUGGGCGAAAGCCUGAUCUAGCCAUGCCGCGUGAGUGACGAAGGCCUUAGGGUCGUAAAGCUCUUUCGCCAGGGAUGAUAAUGACAGUACCUGGUAAAGAAACCCCGGCUAACUCCGUGCCAGCAGCCGCGGUAAUACGGAGGGGGUUAGCGUUGUUCGGAAUUACUGGGCGUAAAGCGUACGUAGGCGGAUUAGCAAGUUAGGGGUGAAAUCCCGGGGCUCAACCCCGGAACUGCCCUUAAAACUGUUAGUCUAGAGUUCGAGAGAGGUGAGUGGAAUUCCAAGUGUAGAGGUGAAAUUCGUAGAUAUUUGGAGGAACACCAGUGGCGAAGGCGGCUCACUGGCUCGAUACUGACGCUGAGGUACGAAAGUGUGGGGAGCAAACAGGAUUAGAUACCCUGGUAG
rnacentral:rRNA from 1 species